UCGGGAUAGCUCAGUUGGUAGAGCAGAGGACUGAAAAUCCUC
rnacentral:tRNA from 1 species